rnacentral:rRNA from 1 species
AGUGAACGCUGGCGGUAGGCCUAACACAUGCAAGUCGAACGGCAGCACAGUAAGAGCUUGCUCUUACGGGUGGCGAGUGGCGGACGGGUGAGGAAUACAUCGGAAUCUACUUUUUCGUGGGGGAUAACGUAGGGAAACUUACGCUAAUACCGCAUACGACCUACGGGUGAAAGCAGGGGAUCUUCGGACCUUGCGCGAUUGAAUGAGCCGAUGUCGGAUUAGCUAGUUGGCGGGGUAAAGUCCCACCAAGGCGACGAUCCGUAGCUGGUCUGAGAGGAUGAUCAGCCACACUGGAACUGAGACACGGUCCAGACUCCUACGGGAGGCAGCAGUGGGGAAUAUUGGACAAUGGGCGCAAGCCUGAUCCAGCCAUACCGCGUGGGUGAAGAAGGCCUUCGGGUUGUAAAGCCCUUUUGUUGGGAAAGAAAAGCAGCAGGUUAAUACCCCGCUGUUCUGACGGUACCCAAAGAAUAAGCACCGGCUAACUUCGU